UUCAAAAUGAUGAGGUAUUUUUGAGGUGAACCUAUGAUGUGCCUAACUCAUAUCAAACAAUGCCUUCAAAGUUCUCUGAUUGAU